CCGGAGUUGCUGAGCUGCGACUGAGGAUUGCUUGGUUGUGUGGCCGGAAUGCCGGUGUUCCAUGGUUCUUGAUCAAGUGACAUCUUUCUGGUAUGGUGGGAAAGUUUGUAUGCAGAGGUAUAGUUAUAUAGUUUAAUGAUCAAUUACAUAAGCUUGCUUGCUUUUAAGGUUGGAUUAAAUGUGCGAUGAUAUGCAUAGUUUAAGACACCGGGCGGCAGUGGACGGUGAUACCUAGUCGCACUUUUGUAUUAGACAAAGGUGUGAUAAAUUGAUGUGGUAUAUGCUGGAAUGGUGAUGCCUGAACUGUGGGAAUAUUAUGGGAUGUUGAUUGUUUUUAUUUUCUUUUUUCAUUAGGGUGUUGCCGUCCAAGCCAAAUGAAUGGAUGAAUGCAAUGUGAAUUAGCUAGGUUGGUUUUUGUUUAUGGAGGGAUUACUGGAUCCUGAUCAGGCUGCAGAAUCACUAACCUGAUCCCUUUGGAAUUUAUGAACAGAACAAACGCAGACAAGGACUCUCUGUCUCUACCUAAAGGGAGGGUGUUCAACUUUGGUUUGUUUUUUGUGUAAGUUCGUAUCUUUCCCAUACGCCAUUAGCCGUCUAACUCUGAAGAAGCCCACAAUGCAAAAUCCAAGGGGAUCAAACGAAGGAUGAUUGCGAAGUUGUUGGGUGUUCGCUGUUCGGAUAGAGAAAUCACGCGUUCUGAACCGUUUUGAUUUCUCUUUUCUCUCUCUUUUCCGACAACCUUUCACUGUCUUUUCUUGCUGGUUCAGACGGUCGCCAAUGGCAGUUUGCAGCUCCGGUGCGGAGGGCGCUCUUCACUGCCGCCUCUUGAUCUUCUCUUCUUUUCUUUUAUUUCCUUUACCUUUCCUUUCUCGUUUUCUUCGUGUUUUGUGGAAUCGGUGGUGGUGAAUGGGGUUCUUCAGAUCCGAGAAGAGGUGGAGAAUGUAGUAAUUUCUCGUUGCCAGAGUGUUCUGGUUGGCCAAUGCUUUGGGAAGCAGCCGGCGUUGACAGUCAUUAGGGAUUGGGCUACGAAGAUGUGGAGCCGCCCACCAUGAAUGUGUACACGGUGACAUUGAAAUCACUUUUCUUUACUCAAUAAGCUUGAUUUGUUAUGGUUGCUGUUGCUUUUCUGGAAUUACAGCACUAGAGACAGCAAGAUAAUAUCUUUGCUUCUACACACUUAACAAACUCAUAAAGGCAGCAUAUGAUUCAUGAACAUCAAAUAUACUUACCAUUUUCAGACUUUCAA
rnacentral:lncRNA from 1 species